rnacentral:lncRNA from 10 species
GGAAAAGGGAAAUUUCAAAAUAGGGCUUCAGCAGCGGCCCAGGUGGAGUGAGUAGUUUUGAUAAGGUCUGGGUGGGACUCACUUCCAGGUGGUGAGGACAGCUCUCCCCGAUCUCUCUAUCGGCCUGCUCUGGGCCACAGAGACUGGCCCUGACGACUUCUCAGCUCCCGGUCAGCCCUGUCACCCCGGGCCAGUUCUUCAUCGUACCUGGAGACAGAAACAGCCAGGAUCAUGGCAGGCUCUCUUUCGAAGGCAACAGGCAGGGCCACCAGGCUGCUGUGUGGCGAAUACGACAUUACCCAGAGAAGCGGCCUGAGAGGGCCCCCCGGCUCCUGCUGGCUCCCACCCACCUCCCACCUGGCUCCAGCCUACCUACCUGCGAGGUGGCUUUUGCAGCCUGGCAAACGCUCCCCAAGGCCACCAUGCCUAUGUGUACAGCCUUGUUGUUAUUGUGGACAGUGUUCUCCCCUCAGAAGCUGACAUUUUAUACAGGUCACCAGAUCAAAUUUGGCAAUGACUCGUUUUAUAAGGUCAAUAUGUAUUUACAAUUACUCACAUUAUCUUGAGUUCUCACCGCUGUUGUGUCCUUCCUGAAUUUUCAUGUCGCAUUGGGUCAGCUUCUCUUCUGCCUUUGGAGUCCCUGUUUAAUAUUACCUUUAGGGGCAGUCUGUCGGUAGCAUAUUUUUCCAAUUUUUGCUUUUGGAAGAAGGCUUUGCUUCAACCCAGUGGUGAGCACAUGUGAGGCUGUUGUUUAUUAAUCGAAUAUUUCCCCCUUUUAUUUUUGAGACAGAGUUUUGCUCUGUCACCCAGGCUGAAUUGCAGUGGCGUGAUCUUGACUCACUGCAACCUCUGCCGCCUGGUUUCAAGCGAUUCUCCUGCCUCAGCCUCCCAAGUAGCUGGGAUCAUAGGCGUCUGCCACCAUGGCCGGCUAAUUUUUUGGGUUUUUUAGUAGAGACGGAAUUUCACCCUGCUGGCCAGGCUGGUCUCGAUCUCCUGACCUUGUGAUCCACCCGCCUCGGCCUCCCAAAGUUCUGCGAUGACAGGUGUGAGCAACUGUGCCCAGCCUUCUUCUCCUUUUUUUUUCCCCAAAAGAAACGCGGAGUUGGAGACAGACUUAUUAGCAUUGAAGGGAGAGAUCUGAUGAAGAGAAAUGGGGCCACAUUGAGGCAGUGUCCUGGGAGGAGCUGUGGUUUUUACGUCUGUCGCUGUUAGGGGGAAAGAUGUGGACCAGGGUGGUAGCCAGUGGGCUAAGGGUGAGGCUCCCACCUCACAGGGAGGUGGAGAGAAAGACAUGGAGACAGAGAGACAGAGACAGAGAGGCAGAAACAGACAGACCCACAGAGAGAGAGGGAAACAGAGAUGAAGAGACAGAAACACACAGACAGACAGUGAUAGAAAAAGGGAGACACAGAAAUAGAGGGACAGAUACAGAGAUGGAGAGAAAGACAGAGACAGAUAGACACUAAGAGAGACACAGAGAGAGAAAGAGAUGGAGACAGAGAGACAGAGACAGAGAAGCAGAAACAGAGACAGAGACAGAGAGAGAGAGGGAGACAGAGAUGAAGAGACAGCAACACACAGAGAGAUAGUGAUAGAAAGAGGGAGACACAGAAACAGAGGGACAGAUACAAAGAAAGAGAGACACUAAGAGAGACACAGAGAGAGAAAGACUGACAUAUACAUAGAAAGAGGGAGAGAGGCCGGGCACGGUGGCUCACACCUGUAAUCCCAGCACUUUGGGAGGCCG